rnacentral:rRNA from 1 species
CCCUUAGAUGUUCUGGGCCGCACGCGCGCUACACUGACGAAGUCAGCGAGCAUGUCCUACGCCGACAGGUGCGGGGAAUCUUGUCAAACUUCGUCGUGAUGGGGAUUGAUUAUUGAAAUUCUUGAUCAUCAACGAGGAAUUCCUAGUAAGCGCAAGUCAGCAGCUUGCGUUGAUUACGUCCCUGCCCUUUGUACACACCGCCCGUCGCUACUACCGAUUGCAUGGUUUAGUGAGAUCUUCGGAUUGGCGCCACUGCGGCUCAGCAAUGGGCUCGGUGGAUGCCGAAAAGUUGAUCAAACUUGAUCAUUUAGAGGAAGUAAAAGUCGUAACA